CUACGGGUUGCAGCAGUGAGGAAUAUUGCACAAUGGGGGGAACCCUGAUGCAGCAACGCCGCGUGGAGGAUGACGCAUUUCGGUGUGUAAACUCCUUUUAUAUGUCAAGAAAAUGACGGUAGCAUAUGAAUAAGCACCGGCUAACUCCGUGCCAGCAGCCGCGGUAAUACGGAGGGUGCAAGCGUUACUCGGAAUCACUGGGCGUAAAGGACGCGUAGGCGGGUUGGAAAGUCAGGUGUGAAAUCCUACAGCUUAACUGAAGAACUGCACUUGAAACUUCUAAUCUAGAGUAUGGGAGGGGGAGAUGGAAUUAGUGGUGUAGGGGUAAAAUCCGUAGAUAUCACUAGGAAUACCUAAAGCGAAGGCGAUCUCCUGGAACAUUACUGACGCUAAGGCGUGAAAGCGUGGGGAGCAAACAGGAUUAGAUACACUAGUAGUC
rnacentral:rRNA from 1 species